UACGUAGGGUGCAAGCGUUGUCCGGAAUUAUUGGGCGUAAAGAGCUCGUAGGCGGUUUGUCGCGUCGAAUGUGAAAUCCCGGGGCUCAACCCCGGGCCUGCAUUCGAUACGGGCAGACUAGAGUUCGGUAGGGGAGUCUGGAAUUCCUGAUGUAGCGGUGAAAUGCGCAGAUAUCAGGAGGAACACCGGUGGCGAAGGCGGGACUCUGGGCCGAUACUGACGCUGAGGAGCGAAAGCGUGGGGAGCAAACAGG
rnacentral:rRNA from 1 species